rnacentral:rRNA from 1 species
GUAGGUGGCAAGCGUUGUCCGGGAAUUAUUGGGGCGUAAAGCGCGCGCAGGCGGUUCUUUAAGUCUGAUGUGAAAGCCCACGGGCUCAUCCGUGGAGGGUCAUUGGAAACUGGAGAACUUGAGUACAGAAGAGGAAAGCGGAAUUCCACGUGUAGCGGUGAAAUGCGUAGAGAUGUGGAGGAACACCAGUGGCGAAGGCGGCUUUCUGGUCUGUAACUGACGCUGAGGCGCGAAAGCGUGGGGAGCAAACAGGAUUAGAUACCCUGGUAGUCCACGCCGUAAACGAUGAGUGCUAAGUGUUAGGGGGUUUCCGCCCCUUAGUGCUGCAGCUAACGCAUUAAGCACUCCGCCUGGGGAGUACGGCCGCAAAGGCUG